UUUUUAUGAGAGUUUGAUCCUGGCUCAGGACGAACGCUGGCGGCGUGCCUAAUACAUGCAAGUCGAACGCUUCUUUUUCCACCGGAGCUUGCUCCACCGGAAAAAG
rnacentral:rRNA from 1 species